rnacentral:rRNA from 1 species
GAUGAACGCUGGCGGCGUGCCUAAUACAUGCAAGUCGAACGAGGUGCUUUUGUAGCAAUACGAGAGUAUCCUAGUGGCGAACGGGUGAGUAACGCGUUGGUGACCUACCCCAAAGUGUGGGAUAACAGUCCGAAAGGACUGCUAAUACCGCAUGUGGUUAUUGGAUUUAGAAACCGGUAACUAAAGGAGCAAUUCGCUUUGGGAGGGACCUGCGUCCCAUCAGCUAGUUGGUGAGGUAAUGGCUCACCAAGGCGACGACGGGUAGGGGACCUGAGAGGGUGACCCCCCACAAUGGAACUGAAACACGGUCCAUACACCUACGGGUGGCAGCAGUAGGGAAUAUUGCUCAAUGGGCGAAAGCCUGAAGCAGCGACGCCGCGUGUGUGAUGAAGGCCUUCGGGUCGUAAAGCACUUUUCUGGGAGAUGAGAAAGGACAGUAUCCCAGGAAUAAGUCUCGGCUAACUACGUGCCAGCAGCCGCGGUAAAACGUAGGAGGCGAG